GUAAUACUUUGGUAAUACCUAUGAUAAGAUUGGAAUGAUAUAGAUAAGAUUAGCAUGGCCCCUGCACAAAGGACGACACACAAAUUUGUGAAGCAUUCCAUAUUCUU
rnacentral:snRNA from 1 species